UACCUCAGCUUCCUCGGCGUGUUCCUUGUGUUCGUUGGCCAUAGGACCCUAUCUCAUCUUUCCAACACGACGGCAAAACAGAAGACUGCUUGAUGGGAAGAUGCGAAGAAUGUGUGAUCAUCAAUUUUCGGGCGGUCGCAGUUGCUUGGGUUCUGCAAAUGCUUUUGCUUGAGAUCCUGACCGAGUUCUUCUUGCGCAACUUGAGUUUUGAGGGACAACUGGGUGUCAUUUUGUAGUGGGUGCCGAGAAUCCUGGUACUAGAGAAGUGGUAGGACCUCACCUUCAUGUUUUAUGCACCGAUGUUUACUGAAGUGGUAGGACCUCACCUUCCAUGUAUGACGCACUGAUGUUUACUAAAUAGGCUGGAAUUUUUUAAACAUAGGAUUAAUAAGAUCAUAUUCUUACUCGAAAGGUUAACGUGUUAUGCCUUCUGAUUUACAAACUCACAAAACCAAAUUCAUUCAAUUUGAACUCCCCAACGAAUUGUAACAAUUACAUUCCAUCUAAUUAACCCAAGCAAACAUGGGAGCAGAACCAAUCCUAGCAUUUCAUUCUACUUCGUUCACAAACCAAACACACCCAAAGAUAAUUAAAGUGCAUUGGCUGCGUUUUAGUACAAACCUAAGGGUGGUUUAAAUGUAUUUUCAGGACAAACGUGGCCGACAUAUACAUGUGAGCUAACAAUUAUAUCAUCAAUUUUCGGGCGGUCACAGUUGCUAGGGUUUUGCAAAUGCUUUUUUGCUUGAGACCCUAACCGAGUUUUUCUUGCGCAACUUGAGUUUUGAGGGACAUAAGGGUAUCAUUUUGUAAUGAGUGCCAAGAAUCCUGGUACUAGACAAGUGGACGGACCUCUCCUUCAUGUAUGAUGCAUUGCUGUUUACUAAAUAGGCUGGAUUUUUUAAACAUAGAAU
rnacentral:lncRNA from 1 species